GGCAUCACAGAAUUAUAUAUUGGAAUUCUAUAGCCCAUAGAAACCAACACCUAGGGGCUGAGGUCUCUUCAGCCCCCAAUAAAAUAUUUGGGGGGGCCUGGGCUCCCCAAAAUUAAUGGGCAUUGCCAUUCAAAUGGUGUGUGUGUGUGUGUGUGUGUGAUAUAAUAUGAUCAGUUAUGUGGGGUGGGGCUUCCCUGGGCCUCUCCAAUAUUUUAUUCAAGUUUGCAUCCCUGCUAUAGCCCUUGAGAGUAUUAACCCUUUACUUAGCAUUUAGCAUUUUGGAUGAGAUAGAUAGAUAGAUAGAUAGAUGAUAGAUAGAUAGAUAGAUAGAUGAUAGAUAGAUGAUAGAUAGAUAGAUAGAUAGAUAGAUAGAUAGAUAGAUAGAUAAAUAGAUAGAUAGAUGAUAGAUAGAUAGAUAGAUAAUAGAUAGAUAUAGAUAGAUAGAUGAUAGAUAGAUAGAUAGAUAGAUAGAUAGAUAGAUAGAUAGAUAGAUAUGAUAGAUAGAUAGAUAGAUAGAUAGAUAGAUAGAUAGAUAGAUAGAUGAUAGAUAGAAGAUAGAAUUAAAUUUUCUGUUUCACAUUUUAAAGUACUCAUUUUUACAUCCUUAAGAUAUUAAUGACUUCCCUUCUUCUCUUUCAAUGGUUUAUUUUACAUAUCAUAAAUCCCUGCAUAUUUUACAGAAACUAUACCAAUCUCUGCCAAGAAAACUCCAUGGACAAAGACAACAGGCAUAUAAAAGUUAUAACGCUGGAAGCUCAAAUACUUUGGCCACCUCAUGAGAAGAGAAGACUCCCUGGAAAAGACCCUGAUGUUGGGAAAGAUGGAGGGCACAAGGAGAAGGGGACGACAGAGGACGAGAUGGUUGGAUAGUGUUCUCGAAGCUACCAGCAUGAGUUUGACCAAACUGUGGGAGGCAGUGGAAGACAGAAGUGCCUGGCGUGCUCUGGUCCAGGGGGUCACGAAGAGUCGGACACGACUAAACGACUAAACAACAACAUACCAAUCGGUUUUUCAUUAUUGCAUCCAUCAUAACUUGUUUACACUGUUGAAUUUAUCUUAAUGCUGCCAGUGUUUUCAGCUGUACACAGUUAUUUCCCAUAUAUUCAAUAAACGUUUCCCCAUCUUCUCUAAA